GGUCAUCCAACAUAGUUUACAGUGAAGAUUCUCAACAUAGUUCAUUACAGUUUUAAAAGUUUUUGAAUUUUAAAUAGAUAACCAUCCACAUGUUGGAGCCAUAUUCUUCAAGACCACAAUGAUAGGACACAUAGAUAUUUAAUCUAUUUGCUGGUGAAUGUACUAAACUAUUGUUGGAAAUGAGGCAAAAUGUGUGACUGACAUCUAUGUUCUAUUGAGCAGUAAAAAAGAGGAUCAAUUUGUAUUAUCUGUACAGUAUUGGUCAAGAUAAAGAAAAAAAUUCAUUUGGGAUGGCAUGUGAGAAGUCAAUGACUUGUCUAUGUGUUUGGACAGUAUGCCAAAGGUGAAUUAGUGAAAAAGCUGAAUACUGCAGUGGCAGAUUCAAUAGUAUUUUUACUUGAUUGUAAAACAAGUUUUGCAAGUUUAUAAAUCACUUUCUACUCAAUAACUGGAGGCAUAAGAGUAAACAUGAUUGAUGUUACCUUGUUUGGCUCAAACCCACAACUGGAUGAGAACUUUGCAAGACUAGGUUGCCAAGUACAAAGACAUAAGUUAG